rnacentral:rRNA from 1 species
AACGAACGCUGGCGGCAGGCUUAACACAUGCAAGUCGAACGCCCCGCAAGGGGAGUGGCAGACGGGUGAGUAACGCGUGGGAACGUACCUUUCAGUUCGGAAUAACUCAGGGAAACUUGUGCUAAUACCGGAUACGUCCGUAAGGAGAAAGAUUUAUCGCUGAAAGAUCGGCCCGCGUUGGAUUAGCUAGUUGGUGGGGUAAUGGCCUACCAAGGCGACGAUCCAUAGCUGGUCUGAGAGGAUGAUCAGCCACACUGGGACUGAGACACGGCCCAGACUCCUACGGGAGGCAGCAGUGGGGAAUAUUGGACAAUGGGCGAGAGCCUGAUCCAGCCAUGCCGCGUGAGUGAUGAAGGCCCUAGGGUUGUAAAGCUCUUUCACCGAUGAAGAUAAUGACGGUAGUCGGAGAAGAAGCCCCGGCUAACUUCGUGCCAGCCGCCGCAGUAACAC